GCUAGGGGGACAGCUUUGGGUGAGGGAACCGGAAGUGACGUGUGUUCGCCCGAUGUUACGAAACUGAGUUUAAUACAUGUGCUUCCAGAGUUAUGCCAAUUAAAGACAAUGAGGAAAUUUGGCACCGGCACAUUUCGAUUCCUGACUCCUGUCUCUCUCCGUGGCAAGCUCUCCGAAGAGGGAGAGCACUGGCGAAGAAGAGGAUGAAUUGGAGUCCAGUGCAUCACAGCACGUGAAAAGGAUAGCAAAUUGAUAACUUCGGAACGUGUUCAAGCAAAAUGACCAAUGAAUUGAAGCAAAAUGUCUGCCAAAAAUAUUUAAAAGCUUGACAAUCUAUUACAUCAUCUCACUACUCUAUGAUUUUGGAAAUAUUACAGAAUGCUAUUUUCUCUCAUUAAAAUAGAUGUUACAAAAAUG